CCGUUGAGUGCAGCGUUGAUG
rnacentral:miRNA from 1 species